rnacentral:rRNA from 1 species
GAUGAACGCUGGCGGCGUGCCUAAUACAUGCAAGUCGAGCGAACAGACGAGGAGCUUGCUCCUCUGACGUUAGCGGCGGACGGGUGAGUAACACGUGGAUAACCUACCUAUAAGACUGGGAUAACUUCGGGAAACCGGAGCUAAUACCGGAUAAUAUAUUGAACCGCAUGGUUCAAUAGUGAAAGACGGUUUUGCUGUCACUUAUAGAUGGAUCCGCGCCGCAUUAGCUAGUUGGUAAGGUAACGGCUUACCAAGGCAACGAUGCGUAGCCGACCUGAGAGGGUGAUCGGCCACACUGGAACUGAGACACGGUCCAGACUCCUACGGGAGGCAGCAGUAGGGAAUCUUCCGCAAAGGGCGUAAGCCUGACGGAGCAACGCCGCGUGAGUGAUGAAGGUCUUCGGAUCGUAAAACUCUGUUAUUAGGGAAGAACAAAUGUGUAAGUAACUAUGCACGUCUUGACGGUACCUAAUCAGAAAGCCACGGCUAACUACGUG